CCCCGUAAACACCUGUCACUCUCCCGGUUUGCAGAGAUGCUAGGAGGCUAAUGAGAUCACAUGUAUGGAAUGUAUGGGAGCUUCUAAAAGAAAUAAACCAGAUACAUUCAUGAUAGUGUUAUCAUCACCUCAGCCAUCUGGAAGUCAACUUCCUAGCAGACAUAGGGGUUCUGAGCAGGGCAGAAGCCAGAAACUCAGAAAUAAGGGAAAAACAAAGAAAGGUAUUUGGCCCCAGAGAAAGGAGGAAGGAGAUACAGAAAGGCCUGGAGAGUGAAAGAUAGCAUGAUACAGGACGUGCUGGGCUGCGAAGGAGACCCCCACACCCCCCUUGGAGGGAAUGACAGGGAAAGUUCCUUCUACGGAAUAAAUCAAGUCUGCUCAGAAAGAAAUAGAAUUAAAGCACAGGCAUUUAAUCAAAUCGGGCAAGUCACUCCAAGCUUACCAAGUGUUGGGGCCUCUUCCAGCUCUACUACUCACGGAGAUGCAGACGCUGCUAACUCACUCCCAUUCUCCUCUCAUCUUCACCAUCAGAAGUAGAGUGGGUGAUGCCUGGCUUA